UACCAGCACCCCGAGUGGUCGGGACGAUUAUUGGGCCUAAAGCAUCCGUAGCCGGUUUUACAAGUCCCCCGUUAAAUCCAGCUGCUUAACAGAUGGGCUGCGGAGGAUACUAUAAGACUAGGAGGCAGGAGAGGCAAGCGGUACUCAGUGGGUAGGGGUAAAAUCCGCUGAUCCAUUGAAGACCACCAGUGGCGAAGGCGGCUUGCCAGAACGCGCUCGACGGUGAGGGAUGAAAGCUGGGGGAGCAAACCGG
rnacentral:rRNA from 1 species